rnacentral:misc_RNA from 1 species
GAGCUGUCCUGACUUAUCACAGAGUUAAUCUUUUUACAACAACAUGGUGUAUCAGGAAGGUAAACCAUGUGCUGUCUGUGUGCUCACUUGUGCAUGUACAUGUGCUUUUCUGACUUUUCCUUUGCAUCUGUGCACCUGGAAUUAUGUUUUUCUGAUCAAGCUUAUACCCAAGGCAGAAUCCAAAGUUUGCAUGUUACCCACAUCCUGUAUGCUGUCAUUUGUUUUUCAUUUACUUCCUGCAGAGAGAUUGGAGAUGGAUCAUGGGACUCUU